UACGGAGGAUGCAAGCGUUAUCCGGAAUGAUUGGGCGUAAAGCGUCCGCAGGUGGCUGUGUAAGUCUGCUGUUAAAGAGUGAGGCUCAACCUCAUAAGAGCAGUGGAAACUACAUGGCUAGAGUGCGUUCGGGGCAGAGGGAAUUCCUGGUGUAGCGGUGAAAUGCGUAGAGAUCAGGAAGAACACCGGUGGCGAAAGCGCUCUGCUAGGCCGCAACUGACACUCAUGGACGAAAGCUAGGGGAGCGAAUGGG
rnacentral:rRNA from 1 species